ACCAAUAACCAAAUAAUAAUACAGAGAGUUAAAGGAGACUUAAAUAUAAGAAUUGUGAUCCUAGACAGUGUUUAGGUAAAUGCGAGAUCUAAUUAUGGAAAAAAUAUGUGGUCAAGAUAUAAAAGU